rnacentral:misc_RNA from 1 species
ACACGCACCCGCGCGCCCGCUCUUCUCACGUACGCGCAAGAAGGGACGCCACUCACAUCGGCCUCUGCUUUCGUGUCCUUCCACCGUGUCCUAUCGGCGUUGUGCUAUCCGUUCUUCCCGCUUUUCCCCCGUGCCGCAUUGAAUGUUGCACAUUUGAGUUGUAGCGGACUCGUGGCGGUGCGCCCCUCCUUCCCCUCCUCCUCCUCCUCCACGGCGUCGUUUCUGACUCUCUCCGCUCGUGCAUGUGUCGCAAGCCGAGCACCCCCCUCCCAGCAAUCCAAGCACACUCAGACGGACACGCGCACAGACGCACAACCCUGGACGCAUCAACCAUUUUUCCUGUGCAGCAUCGACCACGCCGCACGCACACGCACACGCACACACAACCCGCAUUUGAAAAUUCAUCGGCCUUGCCUGGCAUUCCUUCUUAGUCGGUAUCAACACGUACAUACACACGCCUAUCUAUCUGUCUAUUAGAUAAAUUUGUUUUCUGGGCUUUGGUGAAGUCACGGAAUUCGGAUCGAUUCUCGUGUCGGUGUCUUUGCGCGCCUCUCUCACACCGCCUUUGACUGUAUCAUCUCGUGGUUUCUGUCCUUCGCCGCACUUGCUGCGGGCAGGCUUCAUGGGAACCCUUUCCACUUGCAAGCUGGAUGUGAACACCACACUCCCGCUGGUGUGCAUGUGCACGCUACUCUCCUUCCUGUGCGGCGUCGGCAUAGGCGCGAACGACCUUUCCGCCAACUUUGCGAUGGUGGUGGGCAGCGGCUCUCUCAACAUGAAGCAGGCGAUCAUCUACUGCACCGUGUUCGAGCUACUGGGCGCUGCCUUCAUGGGCGGUCAUGUGAGCAAUACCAUCCGUAGCGGCAUCGUUGACCCGGUGCUGUUUUCGCAAAACAAGGAUGUUGUGGUGAUCGGCAUGACGUGUGCCAGCUUCGCCGCGGCGCUGUGGCUGUACUUGUCGGCGGUGUUCGGUCUGCCGGUGUCCAUCACGCACACAGUUGUCGGGUCUAUUCUCGGCUUUGCGCUCUUCGCCACGGGUGGGCUUACGUACGUCAAACCGAGCGGGGUGGUCGCGGUGGUGAUCUCAUGGCUCGCGGCACCGAUAGCUGCGGGCGGCGUGACAGCGCUUCUGUUUUACCUCAUGCGGCGCGACAUCUUCAAGGUGAAGGGUCGUUCCUUUGAGCUCGCCCUGGCCGUCCUGCCGCACUGCCUGCUCGCAUCCCUGCUGGUGGACUUCUUCUUCAUUGUCCUCGAGCAGCCGCCGAUCAUGUCGCAGACGCUUGCUCAGAACGUCCCGCUUCACGUACAGUACGUCAUCCUGCUUGCUCUCAUACUCCUCUUCUGCUGGGUGGCGAAGGUGUGGGUGUUCCCGCAGGUGGCGGCGGCCGCGAUGAGCGCGCGGUCAUUUGUGUGGGAGAGCGAGGCGCUGCGCACGGAGCUGGUGAACAUGGAAGACAGCUUGGCGCUGGAUGACCUGAAAGACCUGUCUUUCUUCAAGCCAAGAGGCGACGUGAGUGCGACGGCGCCCGUCUCGGCAGGAAGGCAGCCCCCGCGACCUCACUACCAGCACCAGCCGCCUGCUGGUGCGACGGACACGGCUCCGGUGGCCGUGCCGGCAGCUGUGGCGCUCCCGCCGCCCUCGCUGCCAGAUAACCCUGCUCCUGCGUGCACGCUUGACUCUCUCUCGCUUGACCGUCGCAACGACGGCGCUGCAGAUCACGGGAGCUCUAAGAGCAGCUCCACUUACGGCUGCCCGACGCACUCCCGCACCCCCACGCCGACUCCGCUGCACCAGAACGCCUCGCUUGUACUCUCCUCCAUCUCCGCCUCGGACAGCUCCUUUGUACGACAGGGUGGCAUGGUACGUCUGGCACCCGUGCACACCCGCGGGCACUCGCCCACAUUACAGACGCACACCGAGUCAUUUGCCACAGCCGCGGCGCUUAUCCAGCGUGGCGCCAACGAUGCACAUCACCUUUCCGGAUGCCACGUUGCCUCGUCUGAUCGCGAACGCCACAAAGCACAGCAGGUGCAGUCGGCGGGUGCGACGACGUACGGCAGCACGGAGAGCACGAAGCCGGUAUCAGCGACUUGCAGGGGGGAACGGGGGCUAGUGCCGAUUCCGUACUCCCCCGCGUUGGUGCACAGCGAGGACGAGUUUGGCGAGGAGGACUGGGCCAUGGACCACCCAAUGCAGCCCAUUCGCUUUGGAGGUAUCCUCAUCAAGCCCUUCAACCCGCGCGCCGAGUACCUCUUCACUGGCCUGCAGGUGGUGGCGGGAAGCAUAUCCAGUUUUGUCCACGGCGCGGUGGCUGGCGCCAAUGCCACCUCGGCCUUCAUCAUACUUUACGAUGCCUUCACGAACCACGAGUUGCAGGAACCUGGACUCAGCUCACAGUGGUCGAUGCUGCCGGCAAUGAUGGGCAUUGCGAUCGGCAUGUUCGGCCUCGGCGCGAGUCUCAUGAAGACGGUAGGGAUGGAGCUGGUAACCGUGACGCCGGCGCGAGGAUGGUGCAUCCAGAUCGGCGGCACCCUCGUUACGAUGGUGCUGACGGGCAUCGGCAUUCCCGUCUCACUCUCGCAGGCGCAGGUCGGCGCCGCGAUUGGCUGCGGUGUGCUGGACGCCAAGCUGGGCGGUGUGUCGUGGGGCAUCGUUACGAAGGUCGUGACGGGGUGGGUCGUGACCCUUCUCAUCAGCGCCCUGACAACGGGCGUGUCGAUGUGGGUGGUGUCGUCGCUGCUCUGCACGUAAGUGAGAGCAACGGCGUGGAUGCGCCUCACGCAUGCACGGCAUGCGCGUGUGCCAUGCAUACAGGCGAUGCGUGGCGGUGGUGGGGGCGGCAAAGCACGUGCCAUGCUCGCGGCCGCCGCGCACCGUUGCUGAUGCCCUUCGUUUUUCUAAUGCUGCCUUACCCCCUUCCUCCCCUCUUCUCUCCGGGGCCGCGCACAAGCGCACCUCCGCUUGAACUUCACUGACCCUUGCCUCCGCCUUCACUUUCUUCUGCUUGUUUGUGUUCUGUGCAUGGGGUGACGCUGACUCAUGGCCUCCAGAGGCAGCGGCAGCAGCGAACUGCGACGGGGCAUCAGUCGGCAAACCGCCGAGGGAAGAGGGGGCCCCCUCCCUCUCUGCUGGGUCGACUGUGCAUGUUUGUUUUUGUUUGGACGCACUUAGCGGAUGAAAGGGAGCAACACG